CCUACGGGUGGCAGCAGUGGGGAAUAUUGGGCAAUGGGCGCAAGCCUGACCCAGCAACGCCGCGUGAAGGAAGAAGGCCCUCGGGUUGUAAACUUCUUUUAUCAAGGACGAAACAAAUGACGGUACUUCAUGUAUAAGUCUCGGCUAAGUAUGUGCCAGCAGCCGCGGUAAUACGUAGGUGGCAAGCGUUAUCCGGAUUUACUGGGUGUAAAGGGCGUGUAGGCGGGACUGCAAGUCAGAUGUGAAAACGAUGGGCUCAACCCAUGGACUGCAUUUGAAACUGUAGUUCUUGAGUGUUGGAGAGGCAGGCGGAAGUCCGUGGGGAGCGGUGAAAUGCGUAGAUAUACGGAGGAACACCAGUGGCGAAGGCGGCCUGCUGGACAAUAACUGACGCUGAGGCGCGAAAGCGUGGGGAGCAAACAGGAUUAGAUACCCUUGUAGUC
rnacentral:rRNA from 1 species